rnacentral:lncRNA from 1 species
GCCAUCAAGCACCUAAACUUCCAGCGCAGGUAGGAAGCCUCGCAGGCUCACACCACCACCUGCCGCCGCCGCUGGCCAAUUUGCCGUGCGAUGGCUGCAAUACACGACUAGGGUCAGGCAGCAACCACUUCCUAACAAAACUGUAGAAAAGGGCUGGGAAGAAAGGUCUUGUUGCAAAAGUGUGCAUAAAUUUCUAGGAGAGAAAUGAAUUAGUAGUAACUAAUCAUGUAAAGGAAUACGAGUAGAUCCAAGGGGAGCGCAAACAGUGUAAUUAUUAAGAUUCAGAAAAUGGAACUGUGUUGUUUGUCAUUGUUUCAGUUUUUGAAUCUUGACAGCUACAUAGAAUGGAAUUGCUGCAAUUCUCAGUUCCGUGUGAUGUUUACAUGAGCAAGACAUAUCAUAGUAAAGCUCCAAUUUUUUUAUUAUCAGCCUGUUUGGUUCGCGCGAGUGUAGACCCGUGGAUACGGAAUCCAAGUUGUUUUAACAAAUUUAAUAUUUUAAAAUAAAUAUGUAUAAAAUUUGAUGGUAAUUUUUUAGUUAUCAACUAUAUUAUUACAAAUAAGAAUAAAAUUUUAUAAAAAAAUAUUGUAUACAUUAUUUGCCAGUAAAAAAAUUACUAAAUUCGUACCGAAUUUUAUAUCUAUCAUUUGAGAAAAUAUAGAAUAAAUUUAAAUGAACCUUUAAUAGUUUAAUAUUAAAAAUAAGAAUAAAAUUUAUAUAGCAGAAUCUAUAUCCUAUUUAUUUAUAGUAAAAAAAGAUAAAAAAACUAAUAAUCGAAUAGUUAUCGUUUCCAACUAUUUUCAUCCUACCCGUAGUGAAUAGUUUAGAAGCCACAAAACCGGAGGUGAUUGAAUGGGUUAGAAUCCCCUUCUUAUAAGAAGGGAAUUCUAGCUAAUUCAAUCCCUUCCGUUUUCUAUCUCCCAAACCAGUUAGAUUGGAGUGUGAGAUUAAGAAAAAAAAAUCUCAAACUUAAGCCUUGAACACGUAAAACAACAAAGGCGGCGUUGUCAAGGAUGGACAGAGGGGCAGCGUGGUUUUGGAUAACUGCAAUAUAAGAGAUAACUGCAAUAGGAAUAUGGGAUGUAAGUAAACCAACAUGUAUCACAAUGUAAAUGAAAAUUUUAGUAAUCUGUUACAUUUAGAUUCAGAUACAAGUUGUCAUAAUUAAAAAAUAUAGAUAUAAUCAUCAAAACAUCGUAGAACUAAAACUAGCACAAACAUUUUUUAUCAUGAAGUUUAAUUAUAUGCAUUUUUUAUUAAUACAGAAAUUGGAUGUGUUAAUAUGUAGUCUACCAAAAUUGAAGUCCUCAUAAUAUUCGACAUUAUCUCAUAUUCUCAAAACACUUUGGAAAGUACAAGUUAGUCACACACCUUUAGAUUAUCGUAGCCACAUCUUGCCAGGAGAAAAUGAUAUUACCCCCCAAAAAUCUACAAUUUUACACUCUGAAGUCUGAACAUGUUUAUAACACCCUUUCGAGCACUUCGUAUGUCUUCAGGUUCAUCAACACAAUGUGUUAACGCCACCUAACGGGCAAGAUAUUACCAAUGUCCAUGAGUGACCUAAUAAUUCACAAAAAGCAGGCCUUGAGUUGGAUAAACAAAAAGUACAUCGCACUUAAAAAAUGUCUGAACUGAAGCCCUUAAGCCCAAUUUCCCUGACUACUAGCAGUCAAAAGGGGAAAAGAAAAUGAUUAAGUCCUUGGCUACAACUAUACUGAUACGUCUAUUGGAACAUAAAGCGCAACAUCUGAAGAUGAAAAACAAGAACAUUCACCUAAUGCAGGCCCCAUUCAUCCACCAAGGGUCGAAAUACUAACAAGUUUGGUUGUGUUUGCAAUCACAAGCAGUUACCGGACCGUCAGAGCCCACCUGCAAGCAGCAGCAGCACAAGCAAUCAUGUGGUUGACGAUCUGGCGAGGAGCAGGCGAGAUGGGUGGGAUGAGGAUCCGCCUUAGACCCAUUAGUUUUGGCAGUGGCGACAUCUGCUUCCUUGUCGUCGUCCUUGAGAUGGGGUUGUGGCUGGUUCACCGGCAACGGGGGGGUCAUCGGGUGGGGGCGAUGGCGCUGGCUAGGCAGGCGGCAAGGGGUGGUGUAUCGUUGGCCCUGUUCGAGCGAAGGACGAGAAGAGAG